rnacentral:lncRNA from 1 species
CCCUGCCGCCUACGUACAACAACAACAACUGCUUUCAUCUAGCCCGCUCGCUGUGGGCAAUGCACCUACAUACCUGCAACAACAAUUGUUGCAACAGAUUGUACCAGCUCUGACUCAACUAGCUGUGGCAAACCCUGUUGCCUACUUGCAACAGCUGCUUCCAUUCAACCAACUGACUCUGUCGAACUCUGCUGCGUACCUACAACAGCGACAACAGUUACUUAAUCCAUUGGUAGUGGCUAACCCAUUGGUCGCCGCCUUCCUACAGCAGCAACAAUUGCUGCCAUACAACCAGUUCUCUUUGAUGAAUCCUGUCUUGUCGAGGCAGCAACCCAUCGUUGGAGGUGCCAUCUUUUAGAUUACAUAUGAGAUGUACUCGAUAAUGGUGCCCUCAUACCGACGUGUGUUUCCUAGAAAUAAUCAAUAUAUUGAUUGAGAUUUAUCUCGAUAUAUUUCUGAACUAUGUUCAUCAUAUAAAUAAUUGAAAACAUCAAAUCGUAAUUAUAAACUCAUGCUUGGUCAAUACAUAGACAAUGCGAUAUUACUUCAGCAUCCCAAUGAUGUCCUAGCCCAACCUCUUGAAUGUUACUGUUUUAAUGUGUGACGGUAUAUUUAUAAGAUAGACGUGACUAUUUGCGCUUUUUUGAGUACAUACAUAUAUGGUAUGUUGAUUUGAUAUAGUGAUGGACACAUGCUUAACCAUUAAUAUUCAAAUCAGUUGUACUUGCAUGGAGCAAAACAUAAUAUAAGUUUAGGAGUACACUUAUAACUGUGUCCAAACAUGCUCACACAAAUUCAUACCACAUUAUAAUGUUUUGGUAAAUAUUCCACACAUGUAUUUUUUACAACUCAAUUUUGCAGACAAAUGCAGCAUUGUAGACAUGUAGAAUUCUUUGAAGCCCGUGAACUAACAACACCAAGGUCAUUAAAUCAACCGGACCCUAUGAGUAACAAUUUCGAUAUUGCAAACACCAAAUUAUAGAACUUAUUGGCUGAAAAAAUUAUGAGCAAUGUGAAGUUUAAAUUAUUAUACCAUAAAUAUAUCAAAGAACUUUUUUUGAGGAACGUAAAAAUUGCAUGGAAUGGGCAGCCCAACAUGCUAGCUCACUUCUAUGCUAGGUAGCAUUACCAAAGAUGAAAAUGUUGCUGAUGAACGCCAAACCCACUCAAAUAAUAUUUAUAUUUGGGUUGUUUAGUUGUAAAAGUGAAGACCCAAGAUAAAAGUACCAAUUGUCCAAUGACAUUCAAUUAUUUUGUUCGGGGAGCACUUGGUGCGUCAUUUGGACUCAUAUCUUAGUCCAAUAGAUUGCAUUUUCCUUCAAUUUGUAGAAUCCGACAAAGUGCAUGUUCUAAAAUUGUAAAUCUAACUAAAUUAGAAAGCUUGUUACUAAUUUGAUGGUUUGUUAGGUGUAGCUCGUAAAACUAGAACCAACAUAGCUUGCACUCACAUGUCAAAGGAAAUUGGAGUAUCCAAGCACAAUUUGUGUGAGCAUCCAUGACACUGUUAUAAAUGAAUGCGACACAAAUAGGAUCAAUCACAGAGAAGACACGAAUUUAACGUGGAAAACCCCUCCAAAGUGAAGGGGAAAAAACCACGGGCGCCGGCCGGCAACUUCUCACUAUUUUUGGGUGGUUACAGAUCGCAGGAGAUUUACAAUUGAGAUAGAUAUCUCCUGCGGCUUACAAAGAUAUUUAUAGAGGUGAAACCCUAAAACGAUCGCCUCCCGGCGACGGGCCUCCGCUUCGCUCGCCAACUUGGCCGCCUUCUUCAGAAUUUGGAUCACAAACUCAACAAACUCCACCUUGAGACAAAUACCUUGUAGCAUCAUAAUAGCAACCUCCACCUUAAACAAAUGCAUCAUCAUCUUGCCGGCGCCAACAGCCACUAAGGGCUAAUUUAUAAUACCAACUAAGUUUGAGCAUAGCUCAAACUUAGCAACAGAAACAUGCUUCGUCAUCACAUCAGCUGGAUUAUUAUCAGUACUGAUCUUGCAUACCUUCACCAACCCUUUUUCAAUGAUAUCACGAAUGAAGUGAUAACGAAUAUCAAUAUGUUUGGAUUUCUCAGUAAUCAUCUGAUCUUUGGUGAGAUGAAUGGCACUCUGGCUAUCACAAUAGAUGGUAAUGCAAGACUUAAUUCCACAUAGCUCUGAAUAUAUACCUUUCAACCAUAAGGCUUCCUUAGUAACUUCUGCAAUUGCCAUAUAAUCAGCUUCUAUGGUAGACAAAGCAACAGUAUCCUGUAAACGAGCUUUCCAACUCACAGCACAAUCUCCAAUAGUAAAGACAUAACCUGAAAGAGAUCUCCUCCUGUCUAAAUCACCACCAUAAUCUGAAUCAACAUAGCUAAUCAGCCCAUCUCCAGAUUUACCAAAACAUAAACAAGCACUAGAAGAACCACGUAGAUAUCUGAAAAUCCACUGAACAGCUUUCCAAUGCUCUUUACCAAGAUUAGACAUGUAUCUAGCAACAACGCUCGUAGCAUGAGACAAAUCAGGACGAGAACAAACCAUAGCAUACAUGAGUGACCCAACAACACUAGAGUAUGGAACUUUUGACAUAUAUUCAAGCUCAGCAUCAGUUUCAGCACACUGUUUAGCAGACAGUUUAAAAUGAGGAGCCAACGGAGUACUCACAGGUUUAGUAUUUUGCAUGUUGAAACGACGAAGGACCUUCUCAAUAUAAUUCUUCUGGCUCAAGUACAGCAGUCCAGACUUCCUAUCCCUGACUAUCUCUAUGCCAAGGAUUUUCUUUGCAGCACCCAGAUCCUUCAUAUCAAAUUCGCUACUAAGUUGUGCCUUUAAAGCAGUGAUUUCCUUCAUGCUCUUGGCAGCAAUCAACAUAUCAUCAACAUAUAGCAGCAAAUAUGUAGGUGAUCCAUUAACAAAUUUUAGAUAAACACAACUAUCAUAUUGAGACUUCUGAAAGCCCUUAGAAAGCAUAAAUGAAUCAAACCUCUUAUACCAUUGUCUGGGAGAUUGUUUCAGACCAUAUAAGGACUUCUUCAAGCUGCACACAUAGUCUUCUUUUCCAGGAACAAUGAACCCCUCUGGCUGGUCCAUAUAAAUGUCUUCCUCCAAAUCACCAUGUAAGAAAGCAGUUUUCACAUCUAACUGUUCAAGCUCAUAGUCAUGUAUAGCAACAAGACUAAGAAAGGUACGAAUUGAACUAUGCUUGACAACAGGAGAAUAGACAUCAGAGUAAUCAAUUCCUGGAAUCUGACUAAAACCUUUUGCAACUAGCCUUGCUUUAAAGCGCGGAGGCUCUUUUGGAGUCAUACCUUCUUUUCUUUUGAAGAUCCAUUUGCACUUAAUUGCCUUUUUACCAGAAGGCAGCCGAGCUAGUUCCCAAGUGCCAUUCUUAUCAAGAGACUCCAUUUCUUCAUGCAUAGCACCCAUCCACUUUUCACUAUCAGUAGACAAUAUAGCUUCUGAAUAAUUCAAUGGUUCCUGAAUAUUAUCAACUUCUUCAGCAACAGCCAAAGCAAAAGCAACAUUGCACUCUUGAAUCAGUCUUUGGGGCCGAACUAUCUGCCUCCUAGUUCGGCCUUCAGCAAGAGACUGGGGAUGAGACUCCACAACAGGUGAUGAAAUUUCAGAAACAGAAUUUUCAGCAGGUUCAGCAGAUGGUGGAGCAUGAUCAUCAACAUCCCCCCCCCCCCCCGUGCUCCACCUGCACACUGAUAGACUCAGAAUUCUGGUUAGUAGCACUGGUAGAUACAACCGAAGGGAACAUAGCAGAUUCAUUGAACACAACGUUUCUACUAAAAAAUGCCUUCUGUGUAUCAGGAUUCCACAAUUUAUAUGCUUUAACACCAGAUCCAUAACCCAAGAAAACACACUUAAUUGCUCUAGGCUCAAGUUUACCAUUAUCAACAUGUGCAUAUGCAGUACAACCAAACACUCUCAACUGAGAAUAAUCAUAGGGGGAACCAGACCAAACCUCAAUUGGAGUUUUCUUAUCGAUAGCAGUGGAUGGUGAACAAUUGAUCAAAUGACAAGCAGUGGAAGCGGCCUCAGCCCAAAACUUUCGGCUCAAACCUAAGUUGGACAACAUACACCGAGCCUUGGAGAUUAUUGUUCUAUUCAUACGCUCUCCCACACCGUUCUGCUGAGGCGUAUAUGGUAUAGUGUGGUGCCUCACAAUGCCCUCCUUCCUGCAGAAAGAGUUAAAAUCACCAGAACAAAACUCCAUACCAUUGUCAGUUCUCAGAACCUUCAGCUUCCUCUCAGUCUGCUUCUCAACCAUAGUCUUCCAAACCUUGAAAGACUCAAAGGCAUCUGAUUUUUGCUUAAGAAAAUAAGGCCAAACUCUGCGUGAAUUAUCAUCAAUGAUAGUCAACAUGUAACGAGCACCACCAUGUGAAGGUAUACGUGACGGCCCCCACAAAUCAGCAUGAACAUAAUCAAGAAUAUUUUCUGUAUUAUGAACAGCAGAACUGAAUUUUACCCUUUUAUGCUUACCGAAAACACAGUGCUCACAAAAAUCAAGAGUAUCAGCAUGGCAACCAUCAAGAAGGCCUCUCUUGCUCAAUUCUGCCAAACCAGGUGCACUCAUAUGGCCAAGUCGCAUAUGCCAAAUUUUAGUAGUCUCAGAAUCAGAUGCAACAACAGCAUUAGCAGAGCCAGAACUACCUCGAAGCACAUAUAAGUUUUCAGCUUUCAAAUCACCUUUAAUAACCACAAGAGAGCCUUUUGUUACCUUUAUGACACCGUCACCGGCGGUAUACUUGUAGCCCUUUGUGUCCAGAGUACUCAGAGAGAUGAGGUUCCUGGACAUGGAUGGAACAUGUCGUACUUCAGUCAAUGUGCGUACAAUCCCAUCGAACAUCUUGAUCUGCAGGGUGCCCAUGCCAACAACAGUGCAAGGGGAAUUAUCACCCAUCCGAAGAGUACCUCCGUUCUGCACAGCUUCAUAGGUACUAAACAGAGAUUUUUUAGUGCAAACAUGAUACGAGCAAGCAGAAUCGAGGAUCCAUUGGGCAUCAUCAGCAGCACAACCAGCAAAGGCAAUAAGAACAUCACCAUUAUCAGAAUUAUUUUCGGAUGCAACAGAGACAGUACCUCCAGUCUUACCCUUCUCCUUGUUCCUCUUCUCCUUGUUCUGCAGUUUGUAACAGUUCUCAAUUACAUGGUUCGUCUUCUUGCAGUAUUUGCAAAAAAAUUCAUCAGAUGGCCCCCUUGACUUGGAGCGACCCCUCUGGUUCUUCCCCUUUCCUUUGCCACCUGAGUUGUACUUUUUCUGAUCAGUGCGGCCACGGACAUACAAAGCUUCUCCACUCGAGCCAGCAGCAUCUUCCGAGUUAACCAUCUGUCUCAUCUUUUCUUUCGCAGUCAAAGCUUCAUACACUUCAGCCACGGUUAGAGUAUCACGAUUGUAUAGGAUGGUAUCUCGAAAAUUGCUAAACGAUGCAGGGAGGGAACACAGGAGAAGAAGAGCUAGGUCUUCAUCAUCAAACUUUACCUCCAUAGACGUCAGAUCGGCCACGAUCUCCUUAAACACCGAUAUGUGCGUCAGAACGGAUCCUCCUUCCUGCAACUUGUGGGAGAACAACUUCAUUUUGACAUGCAUCUUGCUGGUCAGAUCCUUUGACAUACAGAUCGACUCCAGCUUCAACCAGAGAGCAGCGACAGUUUUCUCCGCCAGAACCUCCUGCAGAAUAUUGUUAGACAGAUGAAGGUGAAUAUGUGCGAGCGCCUUACGAUCCUUGCGCCUCUCCUCAUCAGUCCACGUCCUGGCAUCCUUGUUGCCAAAUCCAUCUAGGGCAUCAUCCAGGUCGCGAUCAGAUUGCGAGAGAAUUGCCCGCAUCUUCACCUGCCACAGCGAGAAACGCGUGUCGAGAUCCAGCAGUGGAAGAUCGUACUUCAUUGUCGUCGACAUCCGUGCGCCGGCAGGAAACCCUAGCACACCGAUCAACAAACAACCAAAGCUCCGAUACCACUUGUUAUAAAUGAAUGCGACACAAAUAGGAUCAAUCACAGAGAAGACACGAAUUUAACGUGGAAAACCCCUCCAAAGUGAAGGGGAAAAAACCACGGGCGCCGGCCGGCAACUUCUCACUAUUUUCGGGUGGUUAUAGAUCGCAGGAGAUUUACAAUUGAGAUAGAUAUCUCCUGCGGCUUACAAAGAUAUUUAUAGAGGUGAAACCCUAAAACGAUCGCCUCCCGGCGACGGCCUCCGCUUCGCUCGCCAACUUGGCCGCCUUCUUCAGAAUUUGGAUCACAAACUCAACAGACACAAAUUAUAUAUAGACUGAUAUAAUUAAUUCCUUCAAAAAUAAAAAAAGGAAAAAAUAAAUUGUUUUUUGAUACUGCAGGAUAUCUCUUUAGCUAAUGAGGAGUACUAAAAAUAUGUUGCACUUUUGGGUGGCAAGAAUUCCUCAAUCAUAACUUUGACAUAAUUUUAAUCCGGAUCACAUAUAUAUCAUCAUAUCUUAAUUAUUAAAUUAAUAUGGUUGCAUCAUCGUAUUAUUAAUUCAAUCCGAUAUAACCAUCAGAGCUUAAUUAUUUAAUUAAUCUAGAGCGUACAUUAGAUUAUCAAACCAAAUCAACCUGACAUAACCAUCGAAUGUUCCGCUAUGCACCUUAAGCGCAUGGUCUGGGGCUUAAUCAUCCGGAAUAACCAUCCAAUCUUCUGGUAAGCAUAGUAAGCGUAUGGUUCACGGCUUCGUCAUCCGGAAUAACCAUCAGAUUUUCCGGCAUGCAAUGAAAGCAAAUGAUUCGUGGUUUUUGUAGGGGAAACGUUGUUAGGUGAAUGCGGAUGCUGGCUGAUGUUGCACGUGCGAACUGUUGUGUGGAAGCUGCUAGGUCCUCCUCUAUUGUGUGUGGCUUGUGGCGGGCUUGGACUGCUCUCAUGGCUUCGGCGCUUGGAACUGCUCGUCCGUCUGGUCCUGCGUGCAUCUCUCUCUCUCUCCUGGCUGGAGGCGUGGUGGCCUGGCAGCUUCUCUGUGUUUUUCUUUUUACGACAGCUUCUCGUGUUAGCUAGGGUUAGCGUCAGGGGCCCGGUCAGCUAUGCUCCCUCAGCUUUUAUAGGCAUCGCACCACAGCAGGUAGAGCAGAGAUAAAGAUUCCAACCGCAUCCAUCUACAAACAAGGCUCUCGGCGGAAGGGAUAAAAGCAUGCAGCGCAAUUGCUGCUGCCGUGUUGUGGCCUUGACUCUCGUCAAUUGGAUGACCAAAAGAUGCCACCGUCGCAGCUGCCUGUUUGUCACCAACACAAAAUUGUAGGUGCCUGUUUGUCACCAAUUAUCCUCUACCACAAAGAACUACAAUAGUGAUGGAGGAUCCGAUCCUGCACAGAUACACUAUAAUGCAUAGUGGGUGAUGCAUGCCUAAUGGUGGUUGUUUAGUGUUAGUUUGGGCAUGUUGGAACUAAGCAAUUGUCGAUGCCAUACGCUAGAAGUGAAGAAUGUUGUUACCGUUAGGAGUAGAGGUGUCAAUGGGGUCUGAUACCCGUUAAGCCAUGGAGAAUUUAUCUAAUAGAUUUAGGGUAUGGGAAGAUUUUAAUUUCCAUUUGUUGAAGUUAGGUAUACAUCUAUUUGAAUCGACAGUUACAAUUCAAUGUUUGUCAUUAAAUAUUCCACACAUGUAUUUUUUACAAGAACCCAAAUUUUGUAGACAAAUGCAGCAUUGUAGACAUGUAGAAUUCUUUGAAGCCCGUGAACUUAACAACACCAAGGUCAUUAAAUCAACUGGACCCUAUGAGUAACAAUUUCGAUAUUGCAAACACCAAAUUAUAGAACUUAUUGGCUGAAAAGUUAUGAGCAAUGUGAAGUUUAAAUUAUUAUACCAUAAAUAUAUCAAAGAACUUUUUUGAGGAACGUAAAAUUGCAUGGAAUGGGCUACCCAACGUGCAAGCUCACUUCUAUGCUAGGUAGCAUUACCAAAGAUAGGAAUGUUGCUGAUGAACGCCAAACUGAAAGUUCCCUUUGCUCGGGAACAGGAUCUGGAUGUCGCCUAGAGGGGGGUGAAUAGGCGAAUAAUAAUUAUCACUUUGAAGACUUAAAUUCUUACUCUACUUGAAGACCAGAUCGUAGUGGAAUGAAAGACCCUUCGAGUCGGUUGCAGCGGAAUAGAAGAUCCUGUCUCAAAAUGCCCUGCACUUCAAAUAUAACUUGAACCACAGAUAAGUAUUGAAGUGUAGAUAUAAAGAGUAGAUAAGACAGAGGAUCAACACACAACACAGAGCAGAGCACAUAGACGCAGGAUUUUAUCCCGAGGUUCGGCCAAGCCUGAGAUGCUUGCCUAGUCCUCGUUGGAGUUAGCCACACCUGGGCUUGGAGUCUAUUUCAACUCCUUCCUCCGUUUGCUCAGAUCUAUCAGUAUGACAGAUAGAGCCUUUCACUAUGUUGAGUUCGGUUACAACAACGCCGUGGCUGCUUACAGUCUUCUUGACAGCACUCCGGUAGAGUAACAAUGCGCUCAAGACUUUGCUCUAGCUCUUUGCAGCACCUCUCCACUCUCUAAAGGCUUAUAACUUUGCCUUCACACAAACUAGAGAGAUAUACAUUAGAGUGAGAGAGAGAAUCGAUCUGAGUGAUGUAUACAAUUGUUGGUUGCACUUGUGUGCUUGUUGGAGGCGCCUAGGAGUCCCUUUUAUAGACCCAAGGGGCCUAGGAGCCGUUGGAAUUCAUUUUGGAAGACAAUAUUUGCUUUCUAUCGGGUAGCAUGUCCAGUGCACGAUCUCCUUCCAAAACAAGCUCAACUGACCAUUGGAGCAACGUUUGACUUGGCUCACCGGACACUGUCCGGUGCACACCGGACAGUCCGGUGCGCCAACUAUCCGUUGGCCCAAGCCACACGUCGCCCGCUGAUCGCGCUGCCGACCGUUGGCUCACCGGACAGUCCGGUGAAUUAUAGCCGUACGUCACCAAACUUCUCCCGAGAGCGGCCUGUUCACCGGAGUUCAGUCUGGCGCACCGGACACAGUCCGGUGUGCCAGACUGAGCAGAGACAUGGUUGUACAUAGCCAAGUCUUUUGCAUCUCUUUUCUUUUCUUCUUUUCUCUGUUUCUAACACUUAGACAAAUAUAUUAGUACACACAAACCAAUGUACUAAGUCUAGAAACAUACCUUCUCUUUGAUUUUCACUUCUUCAGCAUUUGGCAUAAUUGAGAUUGAUGUUGGACUCAUAAAUCAUCAAGUCAACUUUACUUGAUCUAGAUUGACAUUUCUGAGCUCCAACAUCCUGCAAAGGUCACAUAGAAUAUCUUCAAACUAGGAACAACCCAAACUAGAGAUCAAGGUGCACUAAGCUCUUUUGGGCUUCUUCCAGUUAUGGUUUUGACACAGCUUCUCCUUUCAGUGACCUUGUUCACUUCUUGAGCUUGAUCUUGAGCCUUAUGACUUAAGCCACAUAAUUGUAGAUGUUACCUCAUUGGUUGUAAGUCAUGUCCUUAUGUAGUGUUCACUGAUGCACCAUAACUUUUCUUAACUCGAUCAACCUUGAUUCCGCAAGUCUUCUUCUUCACCCCUGGCCUUGGGUUCCUGGUCUCCUUGACUUUCUCCCAUGCACUCGGUACCUCGAAGCUCUUCUUGCUUCCAUCCUUGGCUUGAUCGGUUGUCUCUGAGUUAUGCACCUCGAGUCACACUUAAGCAAUGCCCAUCCUUCUUGUGAUGUCCAUUAUCUAUAAAUAGUUCAGUCUUUGGACCAUCACACUUGUUCACUUGUGUUGGACCAUAUUAGCUUUACAUAAAGCACCUAUUCAACACUUAGCACACUUGUUAGUCCUUUAAUUGGGUUGUCAUCUAAACACCAAAACUCACAAGAGAGCUUUCACAAACCCACUCAAAUAAUAUUUAGAUUUGGGUUGUUUAGUUGUAAAAGUGAAGACCCAAGAUAAAAGUACCAAUUGUCCAAUGACAUUCGAUUAUUUUGCUCGGGGAGCACUUGGUGCGUCAUUUGGACUCGUAUCUUAGUCCAAUAGAUUGCAUUUUCCUUCAAUGUGUAGAAUCUGACAAAGUGCAUGUUCUAAAAUUGUAAAUCUAACUAAAUUAGAAAGCUUGUUACUAAUUUGAUGGUUUAUUAGGUGUAGCUCAUAAAACUAGAACCAACAUAGCCUGCACUCACAUGUCAUAGAAAAUAGGAGUAUCCAAGCACAAUUUGUGUGAGCAUCCAUGACACAAAUUAUAUAUAGACUGAUAUAAUUAAUUCCUUAAAAAAAGAAAAAGGAAAAAAUAAAGUGGUUUUUGAUACUGCAGGAUAUCUCCUUUAGAUAAUGAGGAGUACUAAAAAGAUGUUGCACUUUUGGGUGGCGAGAAUUCCUCAAUCACAUAUAUAUCAUCAUAUCUUAAUUAUUAAAUUAAUAUGGUUCCAUCAUCGUAUUAUUAAUUCAAUUUGAUAUAACCAUCAUAUCUUAAUUAUUAAAUUAAUCUGGAGCGUAGAGUAGAUUAUCAAACCAAAUCAACCCGACAUAACCAUCGAAUGUUCUGCUAUGCACAAUAAGCGCAUGGUCCGGGGCUUAAUCAUCUGGAAUAACCAUCAGAUCUUCUAGUAUCUUCUAGUAAGCAUAGUAAGCGUAUGGUUCACGGCUUCGUCAUCCGGAAUAACCAUCAGAUUUUCCAGUAUGCACUGAAAGCAAAUGAUCUGGGGUUUUGGUAGGUGAAACGUUGUUAGGUGAAUGCGGAUGCUGGCUGCUGUUGCACGUGCGAACUGCUGUGUGCAAGUUGCUGGAUCCUCCUCUAUUGUGCGUGGCUUGUGGCGGGCUUGGACUACUCUCAUGGCUUCGGCUCUUGGAACUGCUCGUCCGUCCUGCCCUGCGUGCAUCUCUCUCUCUCCUGGCUGGAGGCGUGCUGGCCUAGUGGCUUCUCUGUGUUUUUCUUUUUACGGCGGCUUCUCAUGUUGGCUAGGGUUGGCGUCAGGGGCCCGGUCAGCUAUGCUCCCUCAGCUUUUAUAGGCAACGCACCACAGCAGGAAGAGCAGAGAUAAAGAUUCCAAGUGCAUCCAUCUACAAACAAGGCUCUCGGUGGAAGGGAUAAAAGCAUGCAGCGCAAUUGCCGCUGCCCUGCUGCAGCCUUGACUCUCGUCAAUUGGAUGACCAAAAGAUGCCACCGUCUAAGCUCUUUUCUUUUGUGCAGCUGCCUGUUUGUCACCAACACAAAAUUGUAGGUGCCUGUUUGUCACCAAUUAUCCUCUACCACAAAGAACAACAAUAGUGAUGGAGGAUCCGAUCCGGCGCAGAUCCACUAUAAUGCAUAGUGGGUGAUGCAUGCCUAAUGGUGGUUGUUUAGUGUUAGUUUGGUCAUGUUGGAACUAAGCAAUUGUCGAUGCCAUACACUAGAAGUGAAGAAUGUUGUUAGCGUUAGGAGUAGACGUGUCAAUGGGGACCGAUACCCGUUAAGCCAUGGAGAAUUUCUCUAUAAGAUUUAGGGUAUGGGAAGAUUUUAAUUUCCAUUUGCUGAAGUUAGGUAUACAUCUAUUUGAACCAACAAUUACAGUUCAACAGAAACUCCUUCCGCUCUAGUUUGUUGUGUGUCCUACCUUUUUCCUAAACUAGUUUUUCCUAAAUUGACAUACUCUCUAGAAAAUCUAUCCAAAUUUUGAAGAUCAAAUCUGUUCCAUUGAAUUAUUCAUGACAUAUAUCUUGGUAUUGCUUUUUGUCAUCAGAAUAUAUUUUGAACUCAUUAAAAGUUAUACACGAUUUUUUUAGACAAUACUAAAGCAAGAUGUAAUUAAGAACACUUGAGGUGUGCGCCAAUUGCCACAUUUAGAUAUAAUCAUUCAAAUUUUGGUCAUCAUAUGUGUGUGCAUUGAUCUAUGCAUUCUAGGAUUUCAAUUAGUCUCAAUCUUGUAGUAUUUGUUCCUUCAUUGUCAAAUCACUUCUCAUCUAACUACUAUGCUUGUUUAACCAUCAGAACAUAACUACAACAAUAUCCAUUUAUAAAGGUUUUGAUAGCAAACUUUACAUAUUCAUAUCAUGUUAAGGUUGUCACAUGUGUAAAGGUGAAGAGAUCAUGCAUGUCAUUCCACGUAGAUGAAAAGAAUUCCUAUAUAAAAUGACACCUUUUCUUGUAGGUAGUGGAAAGUAUCUUUCCAGCAAAGACCAUAUAAUCCGAUAAAGUUGAUAACUAAAUGUCAAAAUAGAGUAGAUGCCAUAUCAUCUAUACCUUAUCUGUUGUUUGGAAAAAGACUAAAUCCAAAAAAUAUAUAUGAGAUCUCACUUGUAUAAAUAGCUCCCAAAUCAGUAGUUAACCAUCACCCAUAAUAUUUUGAGCAUUCAGAAACACACCUAGCGAAGCGCACUAGCAACGACCUAACAACAAUGGCUACCAAGAUAUUAUCCCUCUUUGCGCUUCUUGCCCUUUUUGUGAGCGCAACAAAUGCGUUCAUUAUUCCACAAUGCUCACUUGCUCCUAGUGCCAUUAUUCCACAGUUCCUCCCUCCAGUUACUUCAAUGGGCUUCGAACACCCAGCUGUGCAAGCCUACAGGCUACAACAAGCGCUUGCGGCGAGCGUCUUACAACAACCAAUUGCCCAAUUACAACAACAAUCCUUGGCACAUCUAACCAUACAAACCAUCGCAACGCAACAGCAACAACAAUUUCUACCAGCACUGAGCCAACUAGCUGUGGUGAACCCUGUCGCCUACUUGCAACAGCAGUUGCUUGCAUCCAACCCACUUGCUCUGGCAAACAUAGUUGCAUACCAACAACAACAACAAUUGCAACAGUUUCUACCAGCGCUCAGUCAACUAGCCAUGGUGAACCCUGCCGCCUACCUACAACAGCAACAACUGAUUUCAUCUAGCCCUCUCGCUGUGGUUAAUGCACCUACAUACCUGCAACAACAGUUGCUGCAACAGAUUGUACCAGCUCUGACUCAGCUAGCUGUGGCAAACCCUGCUGCCUACUUGCAACAGCUGCUUCCAUUCAACCAACUGACUGUGUCGAACUCUGCUGCGUACCUACAACAGCGACAACAGUUACUUAAUCCACUAGCGGUGGCUAACCCAUUGGUCGUUGCCUUCCUACAGCAGCAACAAUUGCUGCCAUACAACCAGUUCUCUUUGAUGAACCCUGCCUUGUUGUGGCAGCAACCCAUCGUUGGAGGUGCCAUCUUUUAGAUUACAUAUGAGAUGUACUCGAUAAUGGUGCCCUCAUAGCGGCAUGUGUUUCCUAGAAAUAAUCAAUAUAUUGAUUGAGAUUUAUCUCGAUAUAUUUCUAAACUAUGUUCAUCAUAUAAAUAAUUGAUAAUUGAAAACAUCAAAUCGUAAUUAUAAACUUAUGCUUGGUCGAUACAUAAACAAUAAAAUAUUACUUCAUCAUCCCAAUGAUGUCCUAGCCCAACCUCUUGAAUGUUAUAGUUUGGGUGUGUGCGGGUGUAUUUAUAAGAUAGAUGUGACUAUUUGCGCUUUUUGUUGAGUACAUACAUAUAUGGUAUGUUGAUUUGAUAUAGUGAUGGACACAUGCUUUGACCAUGAAUAUUCAAAUCGGUUGUACUUGCACGAAGCAAAACAUAAUAUUAGUUUAGGAGUAAACUUAUAACUGCGUCCAAACAUGCUCACACAAAUUCAUACCACAUUAUAAUUUUUUGGUAAGUAUUCCACACAUAUUUUUUUACAAGAACCCAAAUUUUGCACACAAAUGUACCAUUCUAGACAUGUAUAAUUCUUUGAAGCCCGUGAACUUAACAGCACCAAGGUCAUUAAAUCAAUUGGACCCUAUGAGUAACAAUUUCGAUAUCGCAAACACCAAAUUAUGGAACUUAUUGGCUGAAAAAAUUAUGAUCAAUGUAAAGUUUAAAUUAUUAUACCAAAAAUAUAUCAAAGAACUUUUUUGAGGAACGUAAAAAUUGCAUGGAAUGGGCUGCCUAACGUGCUAGCUCACUUUUAUGCUAGGUAGCAUUACUAAAGAUGGGAAUGUUGUUGAUGAACGCCAAACCCACUCAAAUAAUAUUUAUAUUUGGGUUGUUUAGUUGUAAAAGUGAAGAUCCAAGAUUAAAAUACCAAUUGGCCAAUGCCAUUCGAUUGUUUUGUUUAGAGAGCACUUGGUGCGUCAUUUGGACUCGUAUCUUAGUCCAAUAGAUUGCUUUUUAUUUCAAUGUGUAGAAUCCGACAAAGUGCAUGUUCUAAAAUUGUAAAUCUAACUAAAUUAGAAAGCUUGUUACUAAUUCGAUGGUUUAUUACGUGUAGCUCAUAAAACUAGAACCAACAUAGGCUGCACUCACAUGUCAUAGAAAAUAGGAGUAUCCAAGCACAAUUUGUGUGAGCAUCCAUGACACAAAUCAUAUAUAGACUGAUACAAUUAAUUCCUUCAAGAAUAAAAAAGGAAAAAAUAAAGUGUUUUUGGAUACUGCUGGAUAUCUCCUUUAGCUAAUCAUGAGUACUAAAAAGAUGUUGCACUUUUGGGUGGCGAGAAUUCCUCAAUCAUAACUUUGACAUAAUUUUAAUCCAGAUCACAUAUAUAUAUCAUCAUAUCUUAAUUAUUAAAUUAAUAUGGUAUGCAUCAUUGGAUUAUUAACUCAAUCCGGUAUAACCAUCGGAUCUUAAUUAUUAGAUUAAUCUGAAGCGUACAUUAGAUUAUCAAACCAAAUCAACCCGAUAUAACCAUCGAAUGUUCCUCUAUGCACCUUAAGCGCAUGGUCUCAGGCUUAAUCAUCCGGAAUAACCAUCUAAUCUUCUGGUAAGCAUAGUAAGUGUAUGGUUCACGGUUUCGUCAUUCGGAAUAACCAUCAGAUUUUCCAAUAUGCACUGAAAGUGUAUGAUCCGGGGUUUUGGCAGGCGAAACGUUGUUACGUGAUUGUGAAUGCUAGCUGCAGUUGCACGUGUGAUCUACUGUGUGGAAGCUGCUGGGUCCUCGUCUGUUGCGUGUGGCUUGUGGCGGGCUUGGACUGCUCUCAUGGCUUCGGUGCUUGGUGCUGCUCGUUCGUCCGGUCCUACGUGCAUCUCUCUCUCCUGGUUGGAGGCGUGGUGGCCUGGCGGUUUCUCUAUGUUUUUCUUUUUGCUACGGCUUCUCGUGUUGGCUUGGCUUGGCGUCAGGGUCCCGGUCAGCUAUGCUCCCUCAGCUUUUAUAGGUACGCAGCACAACAGGCAGAGCAGAGAUAAAGAUUCCAACGGCAUCCAUCUACAAACAAGGCUCUCGGCAGAAGGGAUAAAAGCAUGCAGCGCAAUUGUCGCUGCCUUGCUGGAGCCUUGACUCUCGUCAAUUGGUUGAUCAAAAGUGGCCACUGUCUAAGCUAUUUUCUUUGUGCACCUGUUUGUUUGUAUCGAACACAAAAUUGUAGGUGCAUGUUUGUCACCAAUUAUCCUCUACUACAAAGAACUACAAUAGUGAUGGAGGAUCCGAUCCGGCACAAAUCCACUAUAAUGCAUAGUGGGUGAUGCAUGCCUAAUGGUGGUUGUUUAGUAUUAGUUUGGGCAUGUUAAAACUAAGCAAUUGUCGAUGUCAUACACUAGAAGUGAAGAAUGUUGUUAGCGUUAGUAGUAGAGGUGUCAAAUGGGACCGAUACCCGUUCAGCCAAGGAGAAUUUCUCUAUUAGAUUUAGGGUAUGGGAAGAUUUUAGUUUCCAUUUGCUGAUUUUAGGCAUACAUCUAUUUGAUUCAACAGUUACAAAUCAACAUAUACUCCUUCCGCUCUAGUUUGUUGCAUGUCCUACCUUUUUCCUAAAUCAGUUUUUCCUAAAAUGACAUACUCUCUAGAAAAUCUAUCCAAAUUUUGAAGAUCAAAUAUGUCCCAUUGAAUUAUUCAUAACAUAUAUCUUGGUAUUGCUUUUUGUCAUCAGAAUAUAUUUUGAACUCAGUAAAAGUUAUACACGAUUCUUUUUAGACAAUACUAAAGCAAGUUGUAAUCAAGAACACUUGAGGUGUGCGCCAAUUGCCACAUUUAGAUAUAAUCAUUCUAAUUUUGGUCAUCCUAUGUGUGUGCAUUCAUCUAUGCAUUCUAGGAUUUCAAUUAGUCUCAAUCUUGUAGUAUUUGUUCCUUCAUUGUCAAAUCACUUCUCAUCUAACUACUAUGCUUGUUUAACCAUCAGAACAUAAGUACAACAAUAUCCAUUUAUAAAGGCUUUUAUAGCAAACUUUACAUAUCAUAUUAUGUUAAGGUUGUCACAUGUGUAAAGGUGAAGAGAUCAUGCAUUUCAUUCCACGUAGAUAAAAAGAGUUCCUAUAUAAGAAUGGCACAUUUUCUUGUAGGUAGUGGAAAGUAUCUUUCCAGCAAAUACCAUAUAAUCCGAUAAAGAUGAUAACUAAAUGUCGAAAUCGAGUAGAUGCCAUAUCAUCUAUAUCUUAUCUGUUGUUUGGAAAAAAAGACAAAAUCCAACAAAAAUAUUCGAGACCUCACCUAUAUAAAUAGCUCCCAUAUCAGUAGUUAAUCCAUCACCCAUAAUAUUUUGAGCAUUCAGAAACACACCAAGCGAAGCUCACUAGCAACGACCUAACAACAAUGGCUACCAAGAUAUUAGCCCUCCUUGCGCUUCUUGCCCUUUUUGUGAGCGCAACAAAUGCGUUCAUUAUUCCACAAUGCUCACUUGCUCCUAGUGCCAUUAUUCCACAGUUCCUCCCACCAGUUACUUCAAUGGGCUUCGAACACCUAGCUGUGCAAGCCUACAUGCUACAACAAGCGCUUGCGGCGAGCGUCUUACAACAACCAAUUGACCAAUUGCAACAACAAUCCUUGGCACAUCUAACCAUACAAACCAUCGCAACGCAACAGCAACAACAGUUCCUACCAGCACUGAGCCAACUAGCUGUGGUGAACCCUAUCGCCUACUUGCAAUAGCAGAUGCUUGCAUCCAACCCACUUGCUCUGGCAAAUGUAGCUACAUACCAACAACAACAAUUGCAACAGUUUCUACCAGCGCUUAGUCAACUAGCCAUGGUGAACCCUGCCGCCUACCUACAACAGCAACAACUGCUUUCAUCUAGCCCUCUCGCUAUGGUUAAUGCACCUACAUACCUGCAACAACAGUUGUUGCAACAGAUUGUACCAGCUCUGACUCAGCUAGCUGUGGCAAACCCUGCUGCCUACUUGCAACAGCUGCUUCCAUUCAACCAACUGACUGUGUCGAACUCUGCUGCGUAC